GUGAUGUCAUUCAUAUGAACGUGAUUGACUUUUCUCGUUGUCGGACGCGUUAUCAUGAAACUUUCACUGUUACUGAACCUGUGACUUUUGUGGAAUGUGGUAGACAUGAUUGGUUUUCAUGUGUGUUACAGCUGCAGGCAGUUCGACAGGGUCAAGCGCAAGUGAAGGACCAGGUGCUGCUGAUCAAGUCCCAUCCAUCCAUGAAACGGCAUCAAACAAUGAUCUUCCAGAACAGUGCUUUCUUCAUCCAAGUUCAAGAAGUAAAGAGAAUGACUUCAUGGCUUCUACUGACAUCUCACAGCUACAUGCCAAGACAAAAUAACUUGACAGCAGGAAAUGAAAAGAAAAAAAAAAGGUCCGUUUCAGGUCCACCCAAAUCUUUGUGCAGAGGCUGACAACAACAACGCUAUUGUGAGAUGAUGAAUGAU